ACGGAGGGGGCUAGCGUUGUUCGGAAUUACUGGGCGUAAAGCGCGCGUAGGCGGUUUGCACAGUCAGGCGUGAAAUCCCGGGGCUCAACCCCGGAACUGCGUUUGAUACUGGCGAACUAGAGGACGGGAGAGGGUAGUGGAAUUCCCAGUGUAGAGGUGAAAUUCGUAGAUAUUGGGAAGAACACCGGUGGCGAAGGCGGCUACCUGGACCGUACCUGACGCUGAGGUGCGAAAGCGUGGGGAGCAAACAGG
rnacentral:rRNA from 1 species